UACCAGCACCCCGAGUGGUCGGGACGAUUAUUGGGCCUCAAGCAUCCGUAGCCGGUUCUACAAGUCUUCCGUUAAAUCCACCUGCUUAACAGAUGGGCUGCGGAGGAUACUAUAGAGCUAGGAGGCGGGAGAGGCAAGCGGUACUUAGUGGGUAGGGGUAAAAUCCGUUGAUCCAUUGAAGACCACCAGUGGCGAAGGCGGCUUGCCAGAACGCACUCGACGGUGAGGGAUGAAAGCUGGGGGAGCAAACCGG
rnacentral:rRNA from 1 species